rnacentral:rRNA from 1 species
UACGUAGGGUGCGAGCGUUAAUCGGAAUUACUGGGCGUAAAGCGUGCGCAGGCGGUUGUGCAAGACAGAGGUGAAAUCCCCGGGCUUAACCUGGGAAUGGCCUUUGUGACUGCACGGCUAGAGUGUGUCAGAGGGGGGUAGAAUUCCACGUGUAGCAGUGAAAUGCGUAGAGAUGUGGAGGAAUACCGAUGGCGAAGGCAGCCCCCCUGGGAUAACACUGACGCUCAUGCACGAAAGCGUGGGGGAGCAAACAGG